CAAAUGACUCUCGGCAAUGGAUAUCUCGGCUCUCGCAUCGAUGAUGAACGUAGAAAAAUGAGGUACUUGGUGAGAAUUGCAGAAUCCCGUGAACCAUCGAGUUUUUGAACGCAAGUUGCGCCCGAAGCCGUCAGGCCAAGGGCACGUCUGCCUGGGCGUCACGC
rnacentral:rRNA from 1 species